rnacentral:rRNA from 1 species
UACAGAGGUCCCAAGCGUUGUUCGGAUUCAUUGGGCGUAAAGGGUGUGUAGGUGGCGCCGUAAGUCGGGUGUGAAAUUUCGGAGCUUAACUCCGAAACUGCAUUCGAUACUGCGGUGCUUGAGGACUGGAGAGGAGACUGGAAUUCAUGGUGUAGCAGUGAAAUGCGUAGAUAUCUGGAGGAACACCGGUGGCGAAGGCGGCAUCCUGGACCGACACUGACGCUGAGGCGCGAAAGCGUGGGGAGCAAACAGG